UAAGUACUCCUCUACGACCGAUAGUGAACAAGUACCGUGAGGGAAAGGUGAAAAGCACCCCGACAAGGGGAGUGAAACAGAUCCUGAAAUCGGAAGCCUACAAGCAGUCGGAGCCGCCAAGCGCGGUGACGGCGUACCUUUUGUAUAAUGGGUCAGCGACUUCAUGUGUCGAGCAAGCUUAAGCCGUUAGGUGUAGGCGCAGCGACAGCGAGUCUGAAUAGGGCGCUAAGUUCGACGUAUGACGACCCGAAACCAGGUGAUCUAUCCAUGAGCAGGUUGAAGGUUAGGUAACACUAACUGGAGGACCGAACCCGUGAAUGUUGAAAAAUUCUGGGAUGACUUGUGGAUAGGGGUGAAAGGCCAAUCAAACCGGGAGAUAGCUGG
rnacentral:rRNA from 1 species